GGAGGGGGCAGGGAGGGCGGUCGCCAUCGCGCAUGGCCGCGGUGCGCGGCGGCGGGGACGUGCCCCGGUGCGGCGGCCGCGGGGUGCUCGGUGCGUGCCGGCGCCGCUCGUCCUCCUCGGCCCGGCCCCCGGCCGUCGCCGUCCCUCCGCGCUGAUUCUCUCUCCUCUCUCUCUUUUUUUUUAAAGUGUGACUGAAACAAAACAAAGCCAAAGGGACGCUGGAUCUAUCAUUGGUUGAUUUUCUUUCUCCUUUUUUUUUUUUUUAUGAUCAAAAACAACCCCCCUACCCCAGCAAACAAACACACACAAAAGCAGAAAGAGAGGGUCUUGCUCAAGCAGCAGCAUGGAUGUCUUGGCUAGUUAUAGUAUAUUCCAGGAACUCCAGCUUGUCCACGACACCGGCUACUUCUCAGCUUUGCCAUCCUUGGAGGAAAACUGGCAGCAGACGUGCCUGGAGUUGGAGCGAUACCUUCAGACUGAACCACGGAAGAUCUCUGAGACCUUUGGUGAGGAUUUGGACUGUUUCCUUCAUGCCGCCUCAGCCCCAGAUGCAGAGGACAAUAUCCGACGGCUGGACCCCAUCCUUUUACCUGUGGAGACGAGUACAUGUGACAAAAGCACUAACGUGGACAUUAUCCUCUCACGGGACAAGCUGCUCUCUGAGACGUGCCUCAGUUUGCAAUCCACCAGCUCUUCCACAGAAGGCUACACAGCCGUCAACCAGGCCCAGCUCAAUGCAGUAACCUCAUUAACACCCCCUUCCUCCCCAGAGCUCAGCCGCCACCUUGUAAAAACCUCACAGACUCUCUCAGCGGUGGAUGGCACAGUGACGUUGAAACUGGUGGCCAAGAAAACUUCACUCAGCUCUGUGAAAGUGGGUGUAGUGACAGCGACCGCAGGGGCAAUAAAAACUGGGCAAAGUGACAGUGAGCACGUUGGUACAGGGGCAGAAGCAUCCCCAGAAAACAAGAAGAGGGUUCAUCGCUGUCAGUUUAAUGGGUGCCGGAAGGUUUAUACAAAGAGCUCCCACUUAAAGGCUCACCAGAGGACUCAUACAGGUGAGAAGCCUUACAAGUGCUCGUGGGAAGGGUGCGAGUGGCGUUUUGCACGGAGUGACGAGCUCACAAGGCAUUACAGAAAGCACACGGGUGCAAAGCCCUUUAAAUGCAACCAUUGUGACAGGUGUUUUUCCAGGUCUGAUCACCUUGCCCUCCACAUGAAAAGACACAUCUAAAUACCAGUCAGCUUGGCACAGAUGUCAUCUGAGCUCAGUGUUGUGAGAUGAAAGUGGGACUCAAGUUUCAACGCGCUACCUUGCAGGAGACAAGAACUUGAUCACGUGUAAUCCUCUGUACAGAGACCACACGCUCACACUGUCAUGCACCCGAUUAUACUUCAAUACGUACAUCAGUUCUUCAUGCCUUGCCCCAGCUGGAUGGGUGAAGAUGCAGGCGAAGAAAUGGUAUAGAGGUGAAGUCAAUGAGGAGAAAUAAUUGCUUACAGUGCUUCGUCCCUUGGAUUUGUUUCCUGGCUUUGCCAAUGGAAAUCAAAGAACACAAAGGAGACUUCCCUGCAGGUGGACGGCAGUAGGAGGGGCUUAUUUAACUUGCUUCUCAAUGCAACUCAACAGGAGAAUAUGUCGUCUUGAAGUUGCAUAUUUGUAGCACUAACUUUCUUUUUAAAUAGAUGGGGGGGAACAAUGACCUAGAAAACCAAAUCCCAGUUUGGUAGCCAAAAUUAACCUCUUGGUUCAUUUGUUCUUUGUCUGAGAAUUCCUAAUGUUCAAUGUGUCAGACUUCUCACAGACACUUUGACCUGUCAUGGUUUUGGUUCUUCUUCCUAGAACUGAGCUAUUGAGAUCCUUUUAAGUCAAUACCAGUGGCCUUAAUGGCAGUAGACUGUGGAGUGACACUUGUGACACAAAUAUCCUCUUUUUUGGCCUGAGUUUAUGUAGACUUCACGGAGGACUAUAUUUUUGUUGGUUGUUUUUGUUUUAAUUUUUGUUUUGGCUAUUGCACAACAUAUGCACUAGGGACUCUGGAAGCUGCUGCCAUGAUGGCUAAGUGGCCAAGGGAUAAACCCCAGAGAAACAGCACCUAAUGUCUCUGUAGGCCUCACCUUAUUGCCAUAGCUAGGACUUCUUGUUUCUUUGUUGAACAAAAAACUUUAAAAGCUUUUUUGGAAGCUUAAACAUAUUUUCUCUUUUCUUCACAAACAAGUGAUCUUCAGAACUCCUUGUCUCCACCUGAAUAUCCGUCUGGGACUGGCCACACAGGCAUGACUACAGGAUUCCUUCCACAUCAUGCUAGCACAUUUUCACUUAAUAUGUGGAAAGAGCUGACCAAACACAGAUGGGGAAGAACCUGAACCCAAGAGGAGUCCCCAGGUUCUUGCUUCUGGAACUGUUUUAACUUCAGGAGUAAAAAGAUAAUUACUCACCAGGGUGUGUGGCUAAAAUGGAGUUGAUCCAUAUGAUAGUUACAGUGAUGGAGUGUAUCUGAUCUGUGACCUUCCUGAUAUUUACAGGAUCAGGCUUUUUCCCUUGUUUUUACCUGGCCCUAGACAGUUUGGGCUUCUUAGCUGUCUCUAACACACUAGUGUAUUUAUCUGCAUACAAAAGAGGUCAUAAUUGGUGCUUUUGACAAAACUGAUGAAGAGCCAACUUGUUUAAGUGUUUCCUUUUCUCUGCCUGUUCCCUUAAUGUAUGUUAAAAUCUUUAAAUUUAAAAAAAAAAAAAAAAGAGGAAGAUUUUGUAAAUAACUUAAUGUUACUAGGCCAGCACCCAGUGGAUCAAGGGCUUUUAUUCUUGAUUUCAUUCAGGACUUGGCACAUCCUAUCAUUCCAUCCAGUAAGACUGUUUUUAAGCUUUCAUAUCUUAGGUGACACCUCUAACCCAACACUCUUUGAAAGCAGUCCUUGCUGGUUUCAGAUAGAAUUGCACUUGCAAAGAUCCCCACAUACAAAGAAUAAAGAACAAUGUGUGAUAAUAGCUCUAUUUAACUCUGUACUGAAAAAUUUUAGUUACUUCCUCACAAGAUACUUCAGCUAUUCAUUGACAAGUCUUGCCUGUCUCUCCCUAGCAUUAAAUCUACACCUUCUUGAAUGAUGAUUUCCAGACCAAGCUUGGAUGUUCUUCCUUUUGUCACUUUUGUGUCUCUUUUCAUUAGUAGUUUAGGGAUGACUACUGCAGUCUUUCUCCUCCUCAGCUCUACAUUGGCUUCAGUGGCAAGAAUUAGCACUGUAAGAUCUGUAGGAUCUGGCCCAGCAGGUACUAAGAUCUGUCUUGUAAAGCUGAGACUUUCCUCCUCCCUUAGAGGAAAAAGUCCAGAACAUACUCGUCUAUAUAAUUUAUAUAUAUAAUGAUAUAAUUAUAUAUAUGAAUUAUAUACAUAAAAAUGUGGAGAUGAGAGGUAGGCUGCCUUUAUCACCUCAAGAAUGGGUUUCCCUACCUGAAAACUUUAAAACGCAGGCGUCGUUUUUCAAACAGGGUUUUAUAGUUUUCCUUAAUGCUUGUUUAUGGCAUUUUUGGUGUAAUAAUUGAAGUUGGAACUCUUUGCGAUUUUCAAAAUGAAAGCUUUGAUGAUUUUUUUUUUAAGUGCUUUGAUCCUAACUUCUGUAUACUGCCAGAAAACAGGUUCUCCACCCUGUCUCUGUGUGGGUGUGGAUGUACAACAGUGUACUAUAUAUACCUAACACAGAAGAGGAAACCGAGCUACUGACUUACAGUUUGUAGUAGCCAACCGUGCCUAUUGCUUUGAUUUGGGAGGGCACUUGCUGUUGCCACUGCAUUUUAGGACUCAUGUCGGCUUCUCUAGGAAAAGUUUUCAACAGUGCUGGGAGAUACAUGUUGCUGUGUACUGCAAAUGAAUAGGCUGCAAAUUUGGGGUUGGGAGGGGAGGUGGAAAGGGAGGAGGAUGAGGGCUUAGCAUGUACACACUAAAAGUGAACUAGAAUGGACAGAAAGGUAACAAGUUUAGCCUUUUUUGUUAGGCUCUCGGGGAAAUGAAAAGCUAUCACACAGUUCCUGGAAGGCCUGAUGGCCGAAGGGCUGAUCCUUGCAACAUACAUUUUACCCGGCGCUCUGUAUUUUAAACCCCAGGCCUGUCAGAUUCUGGAAGUAGAUCAAAACACUGGUUUAAACACUACUUUGUUACCAAGGCCAUGUCUCUACCAGGGAAGUUGCCCUAAGUUCAUUACCAGUCAAGUUAAAAUCACUUUGUAGGUGCACUUAUUACUUGAUCGCCUGGAUUUUCUUUGCAUUGGCAUCCUAUGCAGUUAAGCUGAAGUGUAAGAAAUCCUUCAGCCUGUUAAGAUACCUCUACAGGAAGGUUCUUGCACCAAUUUAAGUACCUAAACCACAGUGCAGCUUUUCUCUUAGAAACAAGGCCUUAGUUUAGCAUGGCUACUCAUCUAGUUGAAAAAUAAUAAUGCAGGCUGAGAUUUUCUUUCCUUGCUUUUCCAAGCGGCCUGUUUUCUUUCUUGUCCUUUGGAACCUUUCUUGCUCUGUACUUACUACAUGUUAUAUUAUUGUUUGGGGGAUUUAUUUCUUUUUGUUUAGCAACAACACAAAAAAGCAUGAAUGCUCCCUAUUUAAAAAAAAAAAAAAAAGAAAACAACAUUGCUUGAAGGACUUUCAUUUUGCACUAUAAUUUUUCUUUUACCAGAUGUGUCUGACAAGUGCAUUUUGGAGAUGCCCUCGGUCACGUUCUCUCAGGCCUACUCUGGUAUUUCUAAUAUAUCACAGAAGUACCCAAUCUUGUAGCCCUCAGUUCUGCCUUUUUUUGACAUUUUAUUUUUUUUAAGCUUUUUAUAUAUAUAUAUAUAUAAAUAUAUUACUUUGUCAGUUUUUUUGCUGUACAAAAAGUCUUAAGAUUUAAAAAUAUUAUUUGUAUUAUAUGAUGGUGGUAUGUUAAUGUUACAAAAUUAUUAAUGAAGAAAAAAUUUAUUUUUGUUACUGGUCUGUUUCAUAAUUCUUUUUUAAAUUGGUAUAUUGUAAGAUAUCUAUGCAAAAAUGUUAUGUGACGCAUUUUUAUUUAAGAAUGUAAUAUGUGUAAUAAACAGUAGAAUGUGUUUGGCCCGACA